rnacentral:rRNA from 1 species
CACGUAGGGCGCAAGCGUUGUCCGGAAUUAUUGGGCGUAAAGAGCUCGUAGGUGGUUUGUUACGUCUGCUGUGAAAACCUAGGGCUUAACCCUGGGCUUGCAGUGGAUACGGGCAGACUAGAGGUAGGUAGGGGAGAAUGGAAUUCCUGGUGUAGCGGUGAAAUGCGCAGAUAUCAGGAGGAAGACCAGUGGCGAAGGCGGGUCUCUGGACAGUUCCUGACACUGGAGGCACGAAGGCCAGGGAGCAAACGGG